CCUACGGGAGGCAGCAGUGGGGAAUCUUGCGCAAUGGGCGAAAGCCUGACGCAGCCAUGCCGCGUGAAUGAUGAAGGUCUUAGGAUUGUAAAAUUCUUUCAGUAGGGACGAUAAUGACGGUACCUACAGAAGAAGCCCCGGCUAACUUCGUGCCAGCAGCCGCGGUAAUACGAAGGGGGCUAGCGUUGCUCGGAAUUACUGGGCGUAAAGGGAGCGUAGGCGGGUUAUCAAGUUGGAGGUGAAAGCCCAGGGCUCAACCUUGGAAUUGCCUUCAAAACUGAUAGCCUAGAGUAUGAUAGAGGUAAGUGGAACUCCGAGUGUAGAGGUGAAAUUCGUAGAUAUUCGGAAGAACACCAGUGGCGAAGGCGACUUACUGGAUCAUGACUGACGCUGAGGCUCGAAAGCGUGGGGAGCAAACAGGAUUAGAUACCCUGGUAGUCCACGCUGUAAACGAUGAUUGCUAGUUGUCGGACGGCAUGCCGUUCGGUGACGCAGCUAACGCAUUAAGCAAUCCGCCUGGGGAUACGGUCGCAAGAUUAAAACUUAAAGGAAUUGACGG
rnacentral:rRNA from 1 species